GCUAGUCACAUUUAAGACAAAUUCAUAUACAGUUGGCUAUGUGGUUGAAAUCUAUAGCCGUGUUCUCUAUUAUGGAAUUGCAUAAAUAAGGUCUUGAUAACGGAUUUCUCAUGGUUCUAUCUUAUUAUACAUUAGAAGACUAUGAAACUUGGUGUGGUAGACACAAUAACAGAACGUCCCCCUGCGUCUGACACAUGGAUACUUUAUCUACCGAAAAGGAAAUGUGUAUAAAUACAAUGAUGAUUACAUCCUCAUUUAACAACUGUAUGAAGGUGCUAAUCCCACAGCCCUCACUUACAUGUGUUCUUCAAAAAGGCUGUUUAAAGCAGCUUCUAAAUUUAUACAACAAAUAUUAUUUUCAGAUUUGCUAGUAAUAGUAUGUAUGGGGCUCAUCUCCAUGCAAACAUAAUCGCUACACCUUUUAGCUAUGCCGAUUCAGACAUAUCCAUUUAUCACCACAUCCAUGUAGAAUUAGGGUAUCACCACUUCUGGCAUAUGUUCACCAAUUGUAAGUUCCACUGGUAUGUGACUUCGCAAUGACCUAUUCAAAUCAAACUAUGAAAAUAGCAUGUCGCUUGCUAGGUAGUAGGGAUUACCUUUGCCAGAAGGUAUGUGGUUUCCUUAUCAAACAAAAAUGUUUCAUUGGGUAAUAUGAUGUCUUCUUCAGUACUCCUAAAACUUUACAUGAAAUCAAAGUAAACUUUAUGUAUCGUAGAAGAGUUAUUUACUUUUAAAUGUUUACAAAUUUCUAGUGCUAGCUUCCUCUAGAAGACUGCAUGUUCUCUAAACUCAUACCUUGCUCUCUCUGGCAUGGCAUUUGGUUCUGGUUGUAUAUGCACCCAAAGGUUUGAAUUAUUUAAUCAUUUCAUGUACAUUUAGUUUUAGUUUUUUUCAAGGGUCACCGACAACAGUCUCUUUUGGCAGGAUUUUCUAUGACAGAACAACACAGGGAAGUUGUUAUGGCAAGUAUUUGGUGUUCAAGCAGCAACUUUCUGCCUCUAUGGCAUUCGUGAGCUUGAACAAAUAAUGUGGAAUGCAUUUAAGCUUGCAGUGAAAGAGAAGGUUUGGUGCCUUUAUCCCAACAAGAAUACUCCAACAAAGUCGGUUCAUGACCUUUAGUCAAGAUUCUUCACCAGUUCAACAAGGUGGUAAUUUUCAUGUUGAUUCUACACAGACAAAUGGAGAUAAAACUCUGCACUUUGUUUUACUUGAUGGUACAUGGAACAACUCUGCUGCCAUGUUUAGACGUUUGAAGGAUUGAGCAAAUGAAAUCUGGGGAGAGGACCU